UACGUAGGGUGCGAGCGUUAAUCGGAAUUACUGGGCGUAACGGGUGCGUAGGCGGGCAGGUAAGUCCGUGGUGAAAUCUCUGAGCUUAACUCAGAAACUGCCAUGGAUACUAUUUGUCUUGAAUAUUGUGGAGGUAAGCGGAAUAUGUCAUGUAGCGGUGAAAUGCUUAGAUAUGACAUAGAACACCAAUUGCGAAGGCAGCUUACUACACAGUUAUUGACGCUGAGGCACGAAAGCGUGGGGAUCAAACAGG
rnacentral:rRNA from 1 species